AGGGACAGUGUGUAAGAGGAGGUACAGAAUGAAAGGAAAAGACUUUUCAUUAGCAGGCUGCAGAGAAAUGUAAUAAGAAGCAAGACUCUAGUGAUAAGUAGGAAAGCACAGAUGGAAGGAGGAAGAUAAAAUGUCUGAGGUAAGUUUAAGGGUUAUUAAGGUUAAUGAAUGCUAUCAUUUAAAUAAAGGAACAAGCUAUUUUGAAGGACGAUAUGAAAGGAAUCCCUGUUGCAGGUUAAGAAAGAUGACUUUCAGUACUGCAUUUUGAAUAGACUGCAUCUUGAAUGACCCUCAAACCAGGCACUGAAGCAAUUAAGAAAGGGAAAUAGUAGGGGAAAUCAACUAUGUCUUUGAUUAGCCGGCCACUGAGGUGAGGUUUGGUGGUAAGGAGGGCAUACUAUACAGAACUGCUGCAUGUUUUUACUUAUUAUUGAUUUUUUAAAUUAAAAUGACUGCUAAGUCACUUGGGAUUCAGAGAUGCAGUGGAAACUUUGGUAUGCACUGUUUCUGUCACAGGUCAAAAAGACCUUGCUGUCAUCUGCUCAUGGUGCACAGAUCAUAUUGCACAGAGGAGACAGGGGAACUGAAGAGGGGUAUCUGUGAGAGAGAGGAAUGCAAGAACACUCACUCAUCAUGUCUAAGCAAGGACAGCUUUCUGUGGAAGAUUAAAUGGAGCUGUACACAUGCUGCAGUUUUGAGAAAGGAUAGAAGGCAGAUCAGUCAGAAGGAGGACAUAUGCAGGGCAGACUUUGUGAAUGAGGUUGUGACCAUUUGGAGAAAUGGAUAACAGUAAGUAUUUCUAAUAUAUAGUGUGACACUUUCAGAAAUAAGAGUGGUAUUAGGAGGAGGGAAGGACAUCAAUGAUGGCAAGGAGAUUUUGAUAAUAAUAUGGUGUAUCAAGGGGAGGUGGUGGAUGAAGAUAGCAAGGAUGAAGCAGGGCAUGGUAAAGACUGGGACUCCUUGGACAAAGUAAUAGCUACCCAUGAGUGCAGAAAUGAGGAUUAGCAUGAAGAGCAGAGGGGAAGAUGGAAAUACUUGUAUUUUUGUGUUGUAGAUUUGAAAUAUUAACUUUAAGUAUUCUUUCUAAUUGAAACAAUCCUGUGCCAUUUACCAUUUACAUACUGUUGCAACAAGGCAACUGACCUUACUGUUAUUACUUUCUCAGCGUAAUAAAACAGAACGAGCUUGAAUUGGUAUUUUUGGA
rnacentral:lncRNA from 1 species